rnacentral:rRNA from 1 species
AUACGGAGGGGGUUAGCGUUGUUCGGAAUUACUGGGCGUAAAGCGUACGUAGGCGGAUUAGUAAGUUAGGGGUGAAAUCCCAGGGCUCAACCCUGGAACUGCCUCUAAAACUGCUAGUCUAGAGAUCGUGAGAGGUGAGUGGAAUUCCGAGUGUAGAGGUGAAAUUCGUAGAUAUUCGGAGGAACAUCAGUGGCGAAGGCGGCUCACUGGCACGAUACUGACGCUGAGGUACGAAAGUGUGGGGAGCAAACAGGAUUAGAAACCCUAGUAGUCC